AAUUAGCGCAGAUCCACUAACUGAAUGCCCUCGGCUGGACCGACAAUUGGGAGGCGGUGCUAAACGCCCAUUUAUCGGACACCCCCCCUUCCUUUUUUUUAAAAGCAUCAUAUGACAAUGGGAAUGGGAGAUGCCUCCCUUUUAGAAAUUCCGAGUGUAUGAUAAUUAAUUUCAAUUAGCGUCUAACAAGUCGACCAGCAAGUGUGUGCGGUGUUAUUCAAUAGAUAUAGACUUAAAUCGAGCAAAUCGAGAACAAACACAGUAUGCAAACUGGUAGAGCAUCAAAACAGAGAUUAAUGCAAAAAUAACUAUAACUAUAUAGUCGGGAGAGGGAGAAAAUGUGUGCCAGGGUGUCAGUUCUGGGUGCAAUAACAGCUUAUAGCUUAUAGACUUGUUGCCAUAACGAUUCAAAAGUGAAAUAAAAGUAGAAAUAAUGGAUCGAACAAGUAUCUUUUAAAAUAAAAUUAUAGAAUAUUUAAAUCAUAUACUAUUGGUACGAUCUCAGGUGUAGAUGUCACAAGGUUGGAUGGAUAAUUACAGACAUGAGUGCACAGAACGGAGCGGGACUGUACUUCAUUUCCAUUUGUUUCCACAUGAGAUGCAAGAAAAAGUCAAUCCAUUAGAUACAUCAGAACUCGCUUAUACAGUACGUAUAACAGAUUAUAACAGAAUAUAACCGAGUUGGAGUUAUAACAGAAUUUAAAUAAGAUUUUGUAAUUGUUUUUCCUUAAAAUGCAAAUAAACAACAGAAAUGGGUCACAUUUUUUGGGUUUACUCUCCAAGGGGAGACCUCUUCCGUCAAUCCCCUCUAGACAUCCAAUUGUGGCUGUUAUUGAAAGCGCGAUUUUAUUCAAUUUUUAUUAGCCAGCUAGCGCAACUGGUGGAAAAGUGACUAAUUUAUGCUUAUUGAGCUUCGAGUCGAUCG